rnacentral:rRNA from 1 species
AUUGAACGCUGGCGGCAGGCCUAACACAUGCAAGUCGAACGGUAACAGGAAGCAGCUUGCUGCUUCGCUGACGAGUGGCGGACGGGUGUGUAAUGUCUGUGAAGCUGCCUGAUGUAUGGGGUUAACUACUGGAAACGGUAGCUAAUACCGCAUAAUGUCUCAAGACCAAAGAGGGGGACCUUCGGGCCUCUUGCCAUCGGUUUUGCCCAGAUGGGAUUAGCUUGUUGUUUGGGUAACGGCUCACCAAGGCGACGAUCCCUAGCUGGUCUGAGAGGAUGACCAGCGACACUGGAACUGAGACACGGACCAGACUACUACGGGAGGCAGCAGUGGGGAAUAUUGCACAAUGGGCGAAAGCCUGAUGAAGCAAUGCCGCGUGUAUGAAGAAGGCCUUCGGGUUGUAAAGUACUUUCAGCGGGGAGGAAGGGAGUAAAGCUAAUACCUUGGCAGAUUGACGUUACCCGAAGAAGAAGCACCGGCUAACUACGUG